GUUCAGGAUGAAUUGUUUUAAAGAGUCCCUAAAGCUAUACUCACCCUUGUUGAGCUCCCUGUUCCCCUUGGGCAUGGAUGGGAAAUUCAGGGGUAUCAGGUGCAUUUCCUCAUUUUCUGGUUAUUCUAAGACCUCUGGGCCCUAACUGCCCCUGGAGCACUGUUCCAAACCUGGAGGCGGCUAAAUGAAUGAUCAUUUAAUAGAAUUAAAAAAAAAAAAAACCCUAUCAGGGUAUAUUAACUCACUUUAUAGUCCUUUUGGUAGGAGAGGGAGAGACUAUGGUGAUUUCCUAAAUGCCAGCUAGUUAAGUCCCUCUACCUCCUCCCUCUGGACUUAAGAAAGCCUCCCUGCAUCCAUGUAUUUCUCCUCUAUCAUAGUUUGCUACAUUUUUUGCGGCUGCUCAUGGCUGGUGGCACCACACUUGACCUUAGGAACGCCAAGUGGAAGAGCCUGACGAUGAGACUGAGACUAGGUCGCCAAUUUGAACUGAACUUGGUUUUUCCUCCUCCAACCAGAAUGGCAUGACUCAGGUAUAAAAUCUCUCCUCUCAGAGACUCUGGCGGUCUGGAAACUAUAAAAAGAAAAAACAAAAUCAGUAAAUUCAAGAGAGAAAUGAAAAGAGCAAGAAAACUGUAGGAAGAGAGGGAAAGAAAAAAGGAAAAUACUUGUACACAAAAUUGGAAGGGUGUUUGGAACCCCGCCUCAAUUUCUAACAACUGAAGCUAAGGCUUGUUGGUCUCCACUGGGUUCCUCCACUGGUCUCUCCAACCCAAUUCCCUUGUUCAGGAUCUGUGGAGUUCUUUGCCUGGGAAAGGCACAUUCACAUGGUCUGGUCUAUGGCAGGGCUUUACCUACUGGCGGUGGGUAGGGAAAGGUGGUGGUGGCAGCAGAGAGGGAGGUGAGAAAAGCCCUGGGAGGUGUGGCCACGUCAGGUGGAGGCCCCUCCCCCACCCAUACGGAGGGGCCCAGCAUCCACCACCCCAGGGGAGCCUCUGGGCUCCAGGCCAUCCUGGGUGACUUAAGCCAGAGUGAUCUUAUUACAGUCAUUAGUGACCAGAAUGAUUUCUUAUGCCAAGAGCAAAAAGAAAUGGAUCCAAAUGAGAAAACUGGGACAGCUUGGGUUCUGCGAGAUGGCUGCGAGCUGGGGAUUACACCGAUGAUAAAGCCCAUAGCUGCUUCUUUGGCAUCCACUCCAUGUCAGGCAAAGUCAAGCACACAGGUAGGCUCUGAGCUCCAGAGUUUGCAGUUGUGCAGGGCUGGAAGGCACUUAUGGGUAACAAUUAGACUAUAAUGUGCUUAUGGGUUGGCAGAAAAUGGGAGACAUUCCUGGCGUACUUAAGAAGACUUACUACUCCCACUUCCUUCCCAGCGGUAGGUUUAAGGUAAGUCUCUCCGUUGCUGAUGAUGACCAACCCUGCCCCCAGAAUCCAUCAGGAGUUUGGACACAUCCACAGCUCCCAGAGAAGAUCCCGCUUGACCUCCCUGUCAGAGGCCAGUGCUUAGUGCAUUUCUGAGGCCAGGUGAAAACUGAGGAGGCAACGGAUCAGUGAGACCUGGACUGCGCCUGUCCAACCUGAGCAGCUGCCAUCUGUCAGGACCCCUUCGAGGGCAUGCAUUCAGCCAGCACCGCCAUUCAAUGCAGACCCAGAAAAAUCUCUCAAACUCGCAGACUUGGAGAGAGAGGAAGGUAGCCAGGCAACAGAAUUGCAGAAAACAUCCUCUAGGUCACAUGAACUUUAUUGUAGAUCAGGAAGUUAUCUAACAGCUGCCAAAAGUCUUUCUGACUCCAAAUGUUGACUGUUUCUCACACCUCACCAUUGGGUAUGGAGUCUGCUGCCUUGGGGGUUAUUCAGAUUUCCCAUUCCUUCUCAGACUCCAUCUACCCCCACCUGCCUGGUUGCAUUUGGAGAUGAUUUCCUUUUUUCCAUUCAUGAGACCAUGUGGCUUCCAUACUUACCUGGGCUGGCAGUUUCUCUACUCACCCUCCAAAUCUCUUGAGGAGGAAAAGCCCAGUUGAGGAAGGGUCAGAAAAAGGAAGCCAAGCCCGGAAGUGCAAGCAUACAUUAUCAUAUUCUUCUCAGGGUGCCUUUAGUUCAUUCCAGAAAAAAAGUGCAGCACAAUAAGUAAUUUUAAUGGGCGACCUCCCUUUCUUCCGCUAAUUCCCAGUCCUGAGCAAGGUUCACGAGCAAGAACCUAGUCUUCUGUGGCCUUGAAUGCCCCAAAGGGUCUGGUGGCGAUAUUGAGCACACAGUGUGGGAGCUGAGACAAUAGAUCCUGGUUGACAAAACGGUCGCUUCAAAGGAAAAGGGGCAAUUAUUUGAGAGCAAAUGUAAGCAAAGGCGCGCGCGCGCGCACACACACACGUGCGUGUAUUCCGUGCCUUUUCAAUUAAUUCCAGGCUCAUAUAUGAGACUACCUCGAGGAUCUGCUCCCAUUUCUCAGCCCAGCGCCCCAACACAAGCUGAUUCCUCCUGGAUAACAAGCACCUUGGCGUCGAGGGAGCCCACUCCAGCUGACGUUUGCAGAUAUUAGUUACUUCUGCCUCGUAGUGCUCCUUUCUUCACCCUCGACGGUCCAGAGCUGAGCUCACAAGACUGAGGCAGGCCCAGUCCAGAUGACCAGGAGCAGAAACCUUCCUGGGCCAAAGCACAGAAAGGUCAUCUCAGCGAAUUUACUUGGGGUAAAGGGGUGACUUGGGCCGUGUCCGAGUACCUGCGAUCAUGGGUGGGACCAGGAUGCUGAAGCGGCGCUCUUGUGCCCCCCACCCCGCCCCACCCUUCUCGAAUCUCUGGGUCAGCGGAGUGUAGAUGUUGACGUGCUUGAGCCCUGGGGCCUGACUACGGCUACUUAGAGGGGCCCUACUGUCACCCACCCAAGCGUAGUCAUACACCACGGUCAUCGCCCUGCUCUGUUGGCGCUAAUCUUCUCCUCGGCUAUUUGUAAUGAUCUGUGAGCGCAGAAACCAGCCGCGUGGUGCGCACCCCGGAAGCACUUGCCGAGACCCGGAAGCAGCGGGGCCUCGCCCGCCGCUCCUCUGGCUCGAGAGCCCUCCACGACCCGCCCACCUUGGAGGUACCCCAGUUUGGGAAGCAUGGCUCGCGCGAGAGCGGGUCCCGGGUUCACGCCACGAUCCUGCCCCGUGGUAGAGAGUUUCCGGUCUAUUGGUCUGUCGCUUACGGCGGGCCCAGACCUCCCCGUUCCCCGAGUGGAUUUAGGUCCCCCGUUAAGGUCCCCGUUGUGUCCGGCCGUGGGUCGAGGGAGGCACAGAGAAGGAGGAAUUUACAAUCAGCCCGUAAGUGACUGAUCAGCUCCCCAGAGAUCGGAGUGUAAAUUUACUAGGGAUCUUCGGUUGUGAUUCACAAUUCUGCAAGUAAUAAAAUGCCCACCCCUCCAA